rnacentral:snRNA from 1 species
AUCUUUUCUUGGCUUUUUAGCUAAAAAAAAAAUAAUCUGUUCUUAUCAGUUUAAUAUCUGAUACGUCCCCUACCCGGGGACCAUAUAUUAAAUUGAUUUUUGGAGCAGGAGAUGGAAUAGGGGCUUGCUCCGUCCACUCCACGCAUCGACCUGGUAUUGCAGUAUUUCUAGGAACGGUGCACCCCUG